AUUGAGCGCUGGCGGAAUGCUUUACACAUGCAAGUCGAACGGCAGCACGGACUUCGGUCUGGUGGCGAGUGGCGAACGGGUGAGUAAUGUAUCGGAACGUGCCCAGUCGUGGGGGAUAACGUAGUGAAAAUUACGCUAAUACCGCAUACGAUCUAUGGAUGAAAGCGGGGGAUCGCAAGACCUCGCGCGAUUGGAGCGGCCGAUAUCAGAUUAGGUAGUUGGUGGGGUAAAGGCCCACCAAGCCAACGAUCUGUAGCUGGUCUGAGAGGACGACCAGCCACACUGGAACGGAGACAGGGUCCAGACUCCUACGGGAGGCAGCAGUGGGGAAUUUUGGACAAUGGGCGAAAGCCUGAUCCAGCCAUUCCGCGUGCAGGAUGAAGGCCCUCGGGUUGUAAACUGCUUUUGUACAGAACGAAAAGGUUUCUACUAAUACUAGGAGCUCAUGACGGUACUGUAAGAAUAAGCACCGGCUAACUACGUGCCAGCCGCCGCCGUAA
rnacentral:rRNA from 1 species